rnacentral:rRNA from 1 species
GACGAACGCUGGCGGCGUGCCUAAUACAUGCAAGUAGAACGCACAGUUUAUACCGUAGCUUGCUACACCAUAGACUGUGAGUUGCGAACGGGUGAGUAACGCGUAGGUAACCUGCCUGGUAGCGGGGGAUAACUAUUGGAAACGAUAGCUAAUACCGCAUAAUAUUAAUUAUUGCAUGAUAAUUAAUUGAAAGGUGCAAUUGCACCACUACCAGAUGGACCUGCGUUGUAUUAGCUAGUAGGUGAGGUAACGGCUCACCUAGGCGACGAUACAUAGCCGACCUGAGAGGGUGAUCGGCCACACUGGGACUGGGACACGGCCCAGACUCCUACGGGAGGCAGCAGUAGGGGAUCUUCGGCAAUAGACGGAAGUCUGACCGAGCAACGCCGCGUGAGUGAAGAAGGUUUUCGGAUCGUAAAGCUCUGUUGUAAGAGAAGAACGGGUGUGAGAGUGGAAAGUUCACACUGUGACGGUAUCUUACCAGAAAGGGACGGCUAACUACGUG